CCCUUAGAUGUUCUGGGCCGCACGCGCGCUACACUGACGAAUGCAACGAGCUUAUAACCCUGGCCGAAAGGUCUGGGUAAUCUCCAAAUUUCGUCGUGAUGGGGAUAGAUUAUUGCAAUUAUUAAUCUUCAACGAGGAAUGCCUAGUAAGCGCAAGUCAUCAGCUUGCGUUGAUUACGUCCCUGCCCUUUGUACACACCGCCCGUCGCUCCUACCGAUUGAAUGGUCCGGUGAAGCGUUCGGACCGCUUCCUUUGGACGGGCAACCGUCUGUUGGUCGUGGGAAGUUCGUUAAACCUUAUCAUUUAGAGGAAGGAGAAGUCGUAACA
rnacentral:rRNA from 1 species